GCCAGGUGUGGUGGCACAUGCCUGUAAUCCCAGCUACUCAGGAGGCUGAGGCAGGAGAAUCGCUUGAAUCUGGGAGGCAGAGGUUGCGGUGAACCAAGAUCGUGCCAUUGCACUCAGCCUGGGCAACAAGAGUGAAAUGCCGUUUAAAAAAAAAAAAAAAGGCUGAUUUUUUUUUUUUUUUUGAGAGGGAGUCUUGCUGUUGCCAGGCUAGAGUGCAGUGGCACAAUCUUGGCUCACCACAACCUCCCCAACCUGGAUUCAAGCGAGUCUCCUGCCUCUG
rnacentral:SRP_RNA from 1 species